AGUCGUGUCUGAGAAUGCCGAGGAUUUGGAGGAAGCUUUUGUAGUUUGUAGAGCGAUUAGAGCAGUGAAAAUGGGCAACGAGCCGCAGAUCGUCCAUAUUCUCAACUCUUAAGUGCUUUUAAUACUGGUAUGUGAAUCAAUGGGCUUAUUGGAUUCAACCGAUUGGUUGUAUGGGUUUUAGAAAGUUGAAUCCAUAGAGGAGGCCUUCAGCUGCUUUAUUGUUCACAAUACCAACAACGAGAAGGCCAAGAUCCCAGGAUUGUAGACCAAAAUGACCAAUGCUUUGAUGGGGCUGACACACGAGCAACAAGAAAAUGCUAUUUGCAAAUUUCUCUACACAUCAGCAGAGAUCACAAAUUACAGGCGAAUGCAUCUCAUUCUUACAUUGCUGGAGAAGCUAGUCUCUAACAAUAUUCUGCCUGCUUGGUAAGCUAUCUGAACAAAUAUGAUUAACGGUUGUUCCAAAUAAUCAACUUUGCAAUUUAUUGUUAGACUUGUGUACGAGUGUAUUAUCAGUUGCGACUACCAACAAGUUAAAAUAUCAAAAUGAAGAGUUUUGGGUUAAAUGUUUUUUUACACUUGUUGGUCAUAUUAUUGGUGGAGUAGACUACAAGGGAGUGAGGGAUGUCUUGAAAGCCUGUAAAGAAAAAGCUCGCUCAUUACCCACAAGACUAGAUGCUCCAGUGCAACCUCAAAUGAAAGCCUUAGAGAACCUUGUAGAAUAUAUUUUUGACAGAAAUGCGUGUUUGAUACCCAGUUAUUUGAUCAUCGACGAGCUUGAGAAGAACAUGGAGAUCAAAAUUUGGCCACAUUGGUUCUCGAUGGCAGAAAGCUGAAGGUAAUAAGUUUGGAAAUGAAUGAAAUUUACGGCAAAGUAUGUUUUUCAUUUGGAAGGUGUAGUUAACUGUCCAGAGUUUCUUGUUCAUUUACCAACGUUUAUCAAGUUAGCUUGGAAGUUUAGAAUUGAUAAUGUUUGAAAGAUUUGACGAAUUUUAUGAGAGAAGGAAAGAAGAUGGGAAAACUCUUCUUGGUAAAAUGCUGACAUUAGAGACAUACCCACUCUAUCAUGAAGCUCCACUUCUUGCGGAAAAUUCACAAGAAUAUCAGCAUGCAGUGGAAUACGUGGAAACUUCUACAGGGCAUAGGAAGAUAGGAACUGGAUGUAAAAAUGUUGUUGGAUGUAAAAAUAAGGCAUCAUUGUAUAGACACCAUCUGCUGAAGUUUAAAAUAUUUUCUAGUACCUUGGAUCUGGCUGUUUGACUGUUUGUAUUAACAGGAGUUACAUGUUUAGCAGAGUCUCAACAAUCAGCUAUGGAAGGAGUACAUGGCAAUUUUUAAAUAUAAUUGAGCUGUAGACGAGUCAAGAAGGUGUAGAGAGCCAAGCCCUUGAGAAAUUGAAAAGUGCCUUGUUCCAAAGAACACCUCUUAUAUCAGCUGUUAAAUGUGAACUCAGAGUCAGAACUGUCUAUGACAGUUAGUUCUUGGACUAUGAUGAGGAUAGGAAUAUGGGAGUCUUCAAAGUUAGCUGUGAAGCUGAUUCUUACAUCAGAACAGUAUGUGUGCAUCUUGAUCUAUUUCUUGGGACCUGCAAAUCGUUCUGGUAUUACGUCUGAAAAGAAUGGCUUAGUCACUGUGCAUGAUAUUCUUGAUGCUCAAUGGUUUUAUAAUUUGGUGGACGUGAUACAAAAUAAGUCAAAUCAAAUGUCCAUGGGAUUAUUGGAGACAUGACACAAUGCGCAAACUGCACCAAUUCCAACUCCUCUUGUUUUGGAUUCGUCUGCAGCUAUAAAGUUGAGUAUGGGCAGCACUACGUUUCAAGAAAGAGGCUUCAUUGUGCCAUACAUGGCAUAAAAUUGUAAUUCUUUGUGGUGCUAAUUUUCGUAAAGAGACUGUCCUCAAGAGUAAUCAAGUUAUAUGUGAAAAUUCAUGUUUUAUUGUUAGGAACUUUGAUCGAGCAUUAGAUCAACUUUGCAAGACAAGUUUAAUUGUUCAAUGCAUUGAUGAAAGUCAGUUGAUUUUUUCAAUUACUCUUGGAUUUGUAUCGAUUCAUGAUCUCAAGGAAGCCCUUGUUACUGGCAGUAUUUAAAAGUAUUGAAAAGAAGAUUUUGAUACUGGAUAAUUUUUACAAAGAUGCAGAUAUAGACAGCACAGUUUACUGCCCUCUCUGAACAUACCAGUGGUUUUUGAUAAUAUUUUGCCUUUAUCAAAAACAGUUAUUGCGCCAAUCAAUAAUCGAGAUGCUUCCAAGAAGAGAUUUAAUUUUGAGAAGUAAUAACUUGGAAUCUCUUGAAUUCACUGAAAAAGUUUUCAGUUUUGUAUUUUCCAAGAUUGACCUACGCAAUAACAAGCUAUCUGAUGUUUGCUGUACUUGAACCAUUUUCAGAGUAUAAAGUUACAGAAUUAUGGCUAGAUGGGAAUCCUCUUUGCAGUAAUUCAGUAAUUAUUCAUCAGUUAAAGAUUACGUGACUGCAGUUAAAUGUUAUUUUCCACAUUUACAAUUGCUAGAUAAGGAGAUUAUUGGUAUUGAGGAAAGACACGUACCAAUAAAUCAUAAACAUUUUGUUCAAGAUAAAAUAAAGAUCAAUUUAGUGAAACAGUUUUUAGAACACUUUUUCACAUGCUAUGAUCAAGAAGAUCGGUUAGUGUUCAAUGGAUUAUACGAUGCUGAAGCAUUAUUUUCAAGGACAAUAGGACCUAUCACAGAAAAUUCUCAGAAACAAAUUAUCAAAUCUUUUGCAAUUAACAGAAAUUUAUUAAAGUUUGUUGAGUAUGCAAUAUGUACUAAAUUUCUACUGUAAGGACCAGAAAAAAAUUAUCACUGCCUUGCGACGUGAGCCAGCAACUCUUCUUAAAAUGAAAUUUUUAUAUAUAGAUCUGCUUUACAGCACGAGUAAUAGUUCUGCUGUAUUUGUGCAAGGUCCCUUUGUGUGUGUAUACAGAAAAACCAAUGUACCACCAAACUGGUUCACCAGAACUGUAAUAGUUGUAGCCAAAGAAGACAAUGAAUUUUGUAUUAUCAAUGCAGAUCAAUAUCACAUAGAUUAUUGUCAAGAACAGUGCAAUAAAUGUCAUAUGUUAUGGAGCAAAAACAAUGCUGCCUGGUGCUCUCAUGUAUCAUGAGAAUCUGCCCUCCUGGCAAUACCCACAAUGUCUGCUUGUGACCACUGAGUAGUUGCUAAGAUAAAACGUGUUAUGAUGGAAAGCGAUGCCUAAUCAAGGAAAUGGAGUCCGAGUCCAAAAGCUUCUGAGAAGAAUCGUCAUAUUGUGCAAGGCAAAUUUGACAAACACAGAAAACUAAAUGAAAAGACACAAUCACAGUGGUUAUCUGGUUACGCAGACUACAUUACAUUGUAAGUAGUUCGAGAUUCAUAUGUAUGUAAUGUAAAAACUGGUAUAAGAAACAGACUUAUUUUUUUUCCAAUAAAUUAUUAAUAAAAACAUUUUCUUUACUGUGUAUAGAUGUACAGUUGACUGGCAUGGUGAUUGGGAGUGCCUUUGCUUAUUCCAUGUUUAUCCCUACUUAAAAACUUCAGGUGAUAAUCAUCUGAUUAUCAGGUGAUAAUCAUCUGAUUAUCAGCUGAUUAUCAGCUGAUAAUCAGGUGAUAAUCGUGUCAAAACGUCAGCUGAUUAUCAGCUGAUAAUCAGGUGAUAAUCAUCUUGAUAUUUGCAUUAAAUAAAACAUUGUAUUAACAUUAUUUAGUAAAUAAUUUAUUUUUUAAAAUCAAAUGCAAUUAAUAAUAUUUAUCAAUAAUUUAAUUAAUAUCUUAUGUUCUAGAAUAAAUUAAUUAUAAACAUUGAUUUGUAGUGAUUUUUUUUUA